CAGACACAGGGAAACAGGACAUUUACAUUUUCAUGGUAGAGAAAUCACUAAAUUGCACAUCGCACACAUCCAGGGAUGUCUAUUAGAACCACAUGCAUUUUUCCCUAACAUGUUAAAAGGUAAUUAUAAACAUUAAUGGAGAACAUUGACUUUAGUCAGGGAUAAAUAAACAGAAAAGUAAUUGGGGUCUAUUGUCUGCAA